CAGUCGCCGCGGUAAUACGUAGGGGGCAAGCGUUAUCCGGAAUAACUGGGCGUAAAGGGUGCGCAGGUGGUUUAACAAGUUAGUGGUGAAAGGCAUAGGCUCAACCAAUGUAAGCCAUUAAAACUGUUUAACUUGAGUGCAGGAGAGGAAAGUGGAAUUCCUAGUGUAGCGGUGAAAUGCGUAGAUAUUAGGAGGAAUACCAGUGGCGAAGGCGACUUUCUGGACUGCAACUGACACUGAGGCACGAAAGCGUGGGGAGCAAACAGGAUUAGAUACCCCCGUAGUCCCUGUCUCUUAUACA
rnacentral:rRNA from 1 species